rnacentral:rRNA from 1 species
GACAGAGGGUGGCAAGCGUUACUCGGAAUUACUGGGCGUAAAGCGUGCGUAGGCGGCCUUUCUAAGUCAGACGUGAAAUCCCCCGGCUUAACCUGGGAACUGCGUCUGAUACUGGGAGGCUUGAGUAUGGGAGAGGGAUGUAGAAUUCCAGGUGAGCGGUGAAAUGCGUAGAUAUCUGGAGGAAUGACCGGUGGCGAAGGCGGCAUCCUGGACCUAACUGACGCUGAGGCGCGAAAGCUAGGGGAGCAAACGGG